UAAAAGAACACACGUGUAUUAACACUACACUUCAAUUGCUACCACGAGCUCUCUUUUCUGAGGAAACCUAUUUUUCUUUAUAUUCUGUGGGAUGUCGUUGCACUUCCACUUUCAAUUAUUCUUCUUUGUUCACCAUGUACUUAAUCAUCAACUCUUUAAUUUACAAAGAGCUAUUGCAUUUUGUUUGUUCCAAAUCGGUUUGCACUUUUGUAUCGCACCACCAAGAUUCAGCAACGAAAUUUUUGGGAGCAAAUGAUCAAAGACUCUUCUUCACUUGGUGACCAAUGAUCAUAUUAGCUAUUAUCAUCUUCCACACAGUAAAGAUGCAAGGUAUGAGAUCUUGAGUAUUGUUCACUACUACUGCAAAAAAAAAUUAUUUUAGUGUUUGGUAUGUUAUUUUACUUUUUCUUCAAAUUUAUUUGAAACAUUGUAGACUGCAAAAAUAGUCUAUUGUGCAAUGAUUUUCAGCGUCUUAAAAAAAAAGUUGAAAAACUGACUUACUUUGUCCUCUAAAAUUAUUAGUCUUUUUUCUUAAUUCAUUUAGACUUAGAAGAAAAUACACUAGGGAGACUAAUUAAUGUUAAAAAUAUUAGUGAAGUUAUGAAUUAUACAUACAACUUUUCUUAGCCUUUUUGUUUUGUCACUCUUUCAUAGUAUGCAUUUAUCUUCUUUCCAACUUUUCUUUGAAAUUAGAAUUUUUAUAGUAUAAAAUAAUCUGUUUUUUAUUUUUGGAAGUAGUCUAUAAGAAUCUCCUGUACCGUUGAACUUUGUUUAAGGUUCCUAUAGCCGAAUUUCUUCGUGAAAGAAAUUGUUACCUAUUGAAUAUCCAGCGAGGUGCAAAUAUAGCAUGUGCCUAAGAGGGCAUCAAUCAAAUCCUCACUAAAAAUAUUAUCGUUAUCGCUUGCCAUCAAUGUCUGACAAUUAUCACAUUUAAUUUCGAUAUAAAAAUGGCAAUGCUCUUAAACAUAAGUGAAGUUAAUAAUUUGUUAUAGUUGACGAAAUCUGAUGAGAAAACAUUCUUCCAUAUUCAAUAUUUGGUAUUUCAGAUUUGGAUGAUAAAUGCUCGCUAAGAUUAAGUACUCGUGGUGAGUUUGAAUUUUCUUCUCUGUUUUAUGAUCAAUUCAGAUAGAAGAGUUAAUACCGUUGAUUCCUGUGACUUUAGAUAGUUCAUGCAUUAUUAUUUUAUAAAGUUUAAUUAGUUUUUAACACCAAAUAUCAUUCUAUCAAAUAAUGAAGGUCAAAAUGUGGUUAAUGCAUCUUUUAUAUUCUAUCUCAAUCUGUUUUUUUAAUUGUAGUUUCAUAAGCAUGACAUUCUAAAAAUGCAUACUAAUUCAGCGGUAGGUAUAGUGACUUAGUUGAAAAGGUUAUUUUUCAAAACACUACACAGCUGGUUAACCUUGGAUGAAAAACUCUUUCAUUACAUGUAUGUGUGUACGGCAUACGUAUUUAUAUAUGUGUACACUUAUCUCAAUUUAACAAAUUGGAGAUCUUGUGGUUAUUUAAUGUACUCUUGCAUCUAACAUUCACAACUAUGUUCCUUAUUCCUUUCUUCAUUAACUUUUAUCAGUGGUCCACCCUUUUUGUACUCAGAGGAGAAGAUUAUAGACUCACAUACAUUAAGAAGAUUUUUAUUGAGGAGUGGAGGAAUGUCUUAGGAAAGAAAUAUGUUCUUGAAUCAUAUGAAAAUAUCACAAGAGAGAUCUCCAAACCUAGAACCAAAAUAAAAUGAGAGUAAAUUAUUGCUUCUUAGAUGGACUGUAAGAGGGGUAAAUUACCACUGAUACUUUAGCUAAAGAAAAAACUUCGAAUUGGCAAUCUGAAAAAUGAAAUGACAAUUUCGAAAAUAAUAUAGUAGUGGUAUAGAUGCACAAAAUAGUUCUAUCUUCUCUAUUUCAUGAUUGUGCAAGAACACCGUGAAAGUUCGAUCCAUGUUGUGUCAUUGUGGUUUCUGUUUGAUCACUCGAGGUGAAGUCAAUGCAGCAAGUUCUCUCGCUCCAAAAUCAGUGAAGGCCUUGCAAGGAAAUCUACAAAGGACUUGAAGGGUCUCCGAGUCACCAUCCAAAAGUCAUCUAUUUUUGGUAUUAUAAAAAUUGAUUUGUUUACAUGCGGUGGUUAAAUUUUUAAUUUCUAUGAAAAUAAUACCUUCGAUUCUAUAUUUCUUAGAGGUUCGUGAUUUAGACAUCUUUAUCUAUAAGGAUUUGAGUCUUUCUUUUCUUAUUUUUAAAUAAUGUUUUACAUUUAUACUUUUUCGAUAUGUAUUGAUGAAUGAAACAUGUAUUUUUUGGUCUCUAAGUAUUUACUUAUUGAAGAUGCUUCACAUGAAAUCUGUGAAGCAAAUAUAUAAUGGAUCUUCACUUGUAUUAAAAGUUAAUGUGAUCUUGUGUAACUUUUGAUAAAAAAAAAUUUGUUCAUGUCCAAAUGAGUAUAAUAUAUCAAUUUCCAAAUUAUAUCUAACUUCCCACAUUAUAUUUAACUUAAUGUAUGGUGUCUCAGUUAUAGAUUUACUAAUGAGCUUACUGUGAAAUAUGUGAUUUGAUGAUACCGCAGAUAUAUAGAUGCGAGAAACAAAUGGCUAGGUGUUAUGGGAUGGAGCUUCGUUGAUUCAAGCUAAACUAAUAGAAAGAAGAAGGAAAAGGGGAUCUUACAGGAACGACCAUGAUAUCACAAAUUUAAAGACAGUCUUAUUUUUGGUAUUCUAUGCGAGUGAUGAUUCACCAAACUCGAAGGCAAAAGUGAGAUAAAUUUGCAUAGAGUUGAGUAAUGUCAAGUUCUCCAAGGACUUACUUUAUUAGGGAAUGCAAGUUCAUAAAGGAAUUGAAGAGGAUGAGGAAGAUGACAAUGGCAGCAGAUUUUGGAGAGCUCCUUCUGUUAAUAGUUUUCAAGGAGAUGAGAUGUAUUAUGAUUUUCUUGGCCUGACUAAAGUAUUGGGAAAUAAUCGAUUAUGUAUUUGACUCUGUAUCUAUAUGAUUAUAUGCAAUGUAGAGCUUAUAAAUUU